ACCCCUGUAUGCCUCAGUACGGCGAGUGAGCGGCAAAAGCUCAAAUUUGAAAUCUAGCACCUUCGGUGUUCGAGUUGUAAUUUGAAGAUGGUAACCUUGGGUUUGGCUCUUGUCUAUGUUCCUUGGAACAGGACGUCAUAGAGGGUGAGAAUCCCGUCUGAUGAGAUGCCCAUUCCUAUGUAAGGUGCUAUCGAAGAGUCGAGUUGUUUGGGAAUGCAGCUCUAAGUGGGUGGUAAAUUCCAUCUAAAGCUAAAUAUUGGCGAGAGACCGAUAGCGAACAAGUACAGUGAUGGAAAGAUGAAAAGAACUUUGAAAAGAGAGUGAAAAAGUACGUGAAAUUGUUGAAAGGGAAGGGCAUUAGAUCAGACUUGGUGUUUUACGAUUAUCUUCUCUUCUUGAGUUGUGCACUCGUAUUUCACUGGGCCAGCAUCGAUUCGGAUGGCAAGAUAAUGGCAGUUGAAUGUGGCUUCACUUCGGUGGAGUGUUAUAGCUUCUGCUGAUAUUGCCUGUCUGGAUCGAGGGCUGCGUCUUUUGACUAGGAUGCUGGCGUAAUGAUCUAAAAGCCGCCCGUCAUGAAACACGGACCA
rnacentral:rRNA from 1 species